rnacentral:lncRNA from 1 species
UUCAUAAAGGCGGUAAAUAAUUCACCGUCUUUUUAAUUUUCACAACAGCGGUGAAUCAUUCACCGCCUUCUUGAAGAUUGUUUGUUAGGAUUUUUUAGUUUGUUAAGAUUAUAUGUAAUUUGUUGAAAUUUUUAUAUGGUUGUUAGGAUUAUAUAUAGGAAAUAAAAAAAGUGAGGUUGUUAGGGUUAUAUGUGGAUUGAUUGGUAAAAUUGUAUGGAUAAAUUAUUAGAAUUUUUUUGGUUCUUAAAAUUGUGUGUGGUUUGUUGAAAAUUUUAUGUGGUUGUUAGUAUUAUAUAGAAAAUAGAAAAAAAAAAAGGGGAGAAAGAUAGUGAAUGAUUCAUCGCUUUUGUAGGAAAUUAUAAAGUUGGUGAAUCAUUUA